rnacentral:rRNA from 1 species
UACAGAGGGUGCGAGCGUUAAUCGGAAUUACUGGGCGUAAAGCGUGCGCAGGCGGCUAUGCAAGACAGAUGUGAAAUCCCCGGGCUCAACCUGGGAACUGCAUUUGUGACUGCAUGGCUAGAGUACGGUAGAGGGGGAUGGAAUUCCGCGUGUAGCAGUGAAAUGCGUAGAUAUGCGGAGGAACACCGAUGGCGAAGGCAAUCCCCUGGACCUGUACUGACGCUCAUGCACGAAAGCGUGGGGAGCAAACAGG